rnacentral:rRNA from 1 species
UACGUAGGGGGCGAGCGUUGUCCGGAUUUACUGGGCGUAAAGCGCGCGUAGGCGGGAGGUGAAGUCCGGUGGGAAAGCCCACGGCUCAACCGUGGAAGAACGCUGGAAACUCACCUUCUUGAGGGCGGCAGAGGGAAGUGGAAUUGCUGGUGUAGCGGUGAAAUGCGUAGAUAUCGGGAGGAACACCUGUGGCGAAAGCGGCUCACUGGACCACAACUGACGCUGAGGCGCGAAAGCUAGGGGAGCAAACAGG